rnacentral:rRNA from 1 species
CCUACGGGAGGCAGCAGUAGGGAAUAUUGCUCAAUGGGGGAAACCCUGAAGCAGCAACGCCGCGUGGAGGAUGAAGGUUUUCGGAUUGUAAACUUCUUUUGUCAGGGAGCAAUUGGGUCCACGCGUGGGCUUAGCGAGAGUACCUGAAGAAAAAGCAUCGGCUAACUCCGUGCCAGCAGCCGCGGUAAUACGGAGGAUGCGAGCGUUAUCCGGAUUUAUUGGGUUUAAAGGGUGCGCAGGCGGAAGAUCAAGUCAGCGGUAAAAUUGAGAGGCUCAACCUCUUCGAGCCGUUGAAACUGGUGUUCUUGAGUGAGCGAGAAGUAUGCGGAAUGCGUGGUGUAGCGGUGAAAUGCAUAGAUAUCACGCAGAACUCCGAUUGCGAAGGCAGCAUACCGGCGCUCAACUGACGCUCAUGCACGAAAGUGUGGGUAUCGAACAGGAUUAGAUACCCCUGUAGUC